AGCUUCUUUACAGUGUUGCCUUGUGGCAUGGAGUUCAAGCAGCAUUGUACAGGGCUAUCA
rnacentral:pre_miRNA from 19 species